CAGAAUUCGCCCUUGUCCCAGCAGCCGCGGUAAUACGGAGGGUGCGAGCGUUAUCCGGAUUUAUUGGGUUUAAAGGGUCCGUAGGCGGGCCUGUAAGUCAGUGGUGAAAUCUCAUAGCUUAACUAUGAAACUGCCAUUGAUACUGCAGGCCUUGAGUAAAUUUGAAGUGGCUGGAAUAAGUAGUGUAGCGGUGAAAUGCAUAGAUAUUACUUAGAACACCGAUUGCGAAGGCAGGUCACUAAGAUUUAACUGACGCUGAUGGACGAAAGCGUGGGGAGCGAACAGGAUUAGAUACCCUGGUAGUCCACGCCGUAAACGAUGCUAACUCGUUUUUGGAUCUUCGGGUUCAGAGACCAAGCGAAAGUGAUAAGUUAGCCACCUGGGGAGUACGUCCGCAAGGAUGAAACUCAAAGGAAUUGAUGGGGGCCCGCACAAGCGGUGGAUUAUGUGGUUUAAUUCGAUGAUACGCGAGGAACCUUACCAAGACUUAAAUGGGAAUUGACAGAUUUAGAAAUAGAUCCUCCUUCGGGCAAUUUUCAAGGUGCUGCAUGGUUGUCGUCAGCUCGUGCCGUGAGGUGUUAGGUUAAGUCCUGCAACGAGCGCAACCCCUGCCAACAGUUGCCAUCAUUCAGUUGGGGACUCUGUUGGG
rnacentral:rRNA from 1 species